rnacentral:rRNA from 1 species
AUUGAACGCUGGCGGCAUGCUUUACACAUGCAAGUCGAACGGUAACGGGCCUUCGGGUGCUGACGAGUGGCGAACGGGUGAGUAAUGCAUCGGAACGUGCCCAGAGGUGGGGGAUAACGCAGCGAAAGCUGUGCUAAUACCGCAUGUGAUCUGAGGAUGAAAGCGGGGGACCAAGCAGCAAUGUUUGGCCUCGCGCCUCUGGAGCGGCCGAUGUCAGAUUAGGUAGUUGGUGGGGUAAAGGCCUACCAAGCCGACGAUCUGUAGCUGGUCUGAGAGGACGACCAGCCACACUGGGACUGAGACACGGCCCAGACUCCUACGGGAGGCAGCAGUGGGGAAUUUUGGACAAUGGGCGCAAGCCUGAUCCAGCAAUGCCGCGUGCGGGAAGAAGGCCUUCGGGUUGUAAACCGCUUUUGUACGGAACGAAAAGGCUCUGGCUAAUACCUGGGGCUGAUGACGGUACCAUAAGAAUAAGCACCGGCUAACUACGUG